rnacentral:rRNA from 1 species
CCUACGGGUGGCAGCAGUGAGGAAUAUUGGUCAAUGGACGAGAGUCUGAACCAGCCAAGUAGCGUGAAGGAUGACUGCCCUAUGGGUUGUAAACUUCUUUUAUAAAGGAAUAAAACGAGGCACGUGUGCCCUUUUGCAUGUACUUUAUGAAUAAGGAUCGGCUAACUCCGUGCCAGCAGCCGCGGUAAUACGGAGGAUCCGAGCGUUAUCCGGAUUUAUUGGGUUUAAAGGGAGCGUAGAUGGGUUGUUAAGUCAGUUGUGAAAGUUUGCGGCUCAACCGUAAAAUUGCAAUUGAUACUGGCAGUCUUGAGUACAGUUGAGGUAGGCGGAAUUCGUGGUGUAGCGGUGAAAUGCUUAAAUAUCACGAAGAACCCCGAUUGCGAAGGCAGCUUACUAAACUGUGACUGACAUUGAUGCUCGAAAGUGUGGGUAUCAAACAGGAUUAGAUACCCCAGUAGUC